CACGUAGGCACCAAGCGUUGUCCGGAUUUAUUGGGCGUAAAGAGCUCGUAGGCGGUUGAGUAAGUCGGGUGUGAAAACUCUGGGCUUAACCCAGAGCCGCCACUCGAUACUGCUCUGACUUGAGUUCGGUAGGGGAGCAGGGAAUUCCUAGUGUAGCGGUGAAAUGCGCAGAUAUUAGGAGGAACACCGGUGGCGAAGGCGCUGCUCUGGGCCGAAACUGACGCUGAGGAGCGAAAGCGUGGGGAGCAAACAGG
rnacentral:rRNA from 1 species